rnacentral:sRNA from 1 species
AUUUCAUAUCGGAAGUUGGAACUGUUAGGGUCAAUCUAUUCAUUAUAUAUUGGUUUUAAGUUGAAAGUCCAUGUUAAAUCUAAAUUUGUUAUAGUAUCAAAAUCACCCGAUUGUUAGACUACUUCGUAAAUGUUGUUUCUAUAUAUGCUUACUCUUCAUAUGUUCAUGCACGAGCAUCUUACGAUGUGAGAUUUUACUUCACUAACACUUCCCUUCACACUAAG